UACGAAGGGGGCUAGCGUUGUUCGGAAUCACUGGGCGUAAAGCGCACGUAGGCGGCUCUUUAAGUCAGAGGUGAAAUCCCAAGGCUCAACCUUGGAACUGCCUUUGAUACUGGGGAUCUUGAGUCCGGGAGAGGUUAGUGGAACUGCGAGUGUAGAGGUGAAAUUCGUAGAUAUUCGCAAGAACACCAGUGGCGAAGGCGGCUCACUGGCCCGGUACUGACGCUGAGGUGCGAAAGCGUGGGGAGCAAACAGG
rnacentral:rRNA from 1 species